rnacentral:rRNA from 1 species
AACGAACGCUGGCGGCAGGCCUAACACAUGCAAGUCGAGCGCGCCCUUCGGGGUGAGCGGCGGACGGGUGAGUAACGCGUGGGAACGUACCCUUUGCUACGGAAUAGCCUCGGGAAACUGAGAGUAAUACCGUAUACGCCCUUUGGGGGAAAGAUUUAUCGGCAAAGGAUCGGCCCGCGUUGGAUUAGGUAGUUGGUGGGGUAAUGGCCCACCAAGCCGACGAUCCAUAGCUGGUUUGAGAGGAUGUUCAGCCACACUGGGACUGAGACACGGCCCAGACUCCUACGGGAGGCAGCAGUGGGGAAUCUUAGACAAUGGGGGCAACCCUGAUCUCGCCAUGCCGCGUGAGUGAUGAAGGCCUUAGGGUUGUAAAGCUCUUUCAGCUGGGAAGAUAAUGACGGUACCAGCAGAAGAAGCCCCGGCUAACUCCGU